rnacentral:rRNA from 1 species
UACGUAGGGUGCAAGCGUUGUCCGGAAUUAUUGGGCGUAAAGAGCUCGUAGGCGGUUCGUCGCGUCGGCUGUGAAAUCCCGAGGCUCAACCUCGGGUCUGCAGUCGAUACGGGCGGACUGGAGUUCGGCAGGGGAGACUGGAAUUCCUGGUGUAGCGGUGAAAUGCGCAGAUAUCAGGAGGAACACCGGUGGCGAAGGCGGGUCUCUGGGCAGUAACUGACGUGAGGAGCGAAAGCGUGGGUAGCAAACAGG